rnacentral:misc_RNA from 1 species
AACGCACGAGACCUGCGGACCUGCGGAAGGAUCAUUAUAGAGUUUUCUAAACUCCCAACCCAUGUGAACUUACCUUUUGUUGCCUCGGCAGAAGUUAUAGGUCUUCUUAUAGCUGCUGCCGGUGGACCAUUAAACUCUUGUUAUUUUAUGUAAUCUGAGCGUCUUAUUUUAAUAAGUCAAAACUUUUAACAAUGGAUCUCU